AAUUAAUAGCCUUCUGUUGAGAUCACCGCCACCGUCGAGCCUCGAUCCCACCCCUCCUCAUCCGGUUCUUCCUCUUCCUUCUCGUCCGCCCUCGAUCUCGUCGGCUACAUGGAGGACAAGGCCGCCGCCGUGUGAUCUUCCCACUAAGGAGCUGGACUUACGCCCCUCCCCUGCAUCUAGCUCUUCUAUGCACCGUCUUGUCCAUGUGCUUGUCAAGUCUCGGAAGGGUUCUUCAUUUGGCUUCUUUCUAAACGAAGGAACAGCUUCCUUCGCUUGGUGGAUCAGUUGGAAAAGGAGUUGUGCUGGGGGGAGAGCACAAUUCAGCAACUUUAUGGUGCUAAAGCCACUUGUGAUGGUUCUCAUGCUAAAGAUUAGCCCUUCUUCAACUAGCUUUCCAGCUUGUGUCGCAAGCCAUGGGGGGAGGGGAAGCAAAAGCAGUAGCAGCAACAGAGUCUUAAAUGCCGCGAUGGCAACUUAUGAUAUUCCCUGUGUAGCUGACCAUAUGCUGCUCUCCUUGAGUGCCGUAGACGAUGUGCCUCAAAUCUUACCUUGCUUGGUUGGUGGGUUCAUCCUGACUGAUGUGGCAGGAAACCACCGAUCAUUAUAUUCAUGACAGGUUAUUGUGGUAAGGCCCACUUACCUAUCGUCUAUCAAAGAUAGGUAUUCUUAAUUUUAACUCUUAUUAUUAUUUUCUUACUUAGAGAGUAUUCUCUUUUAA